ensembl:lncRNA
GUUCAUCUAUCGUUAGAGACUAAUGAAUUUUGGAGGAACGUUGUAGGCUACUCAACAUUGUUUUAGUUCUGUUAAGUCAACCUCGCCAGCGAACACGGAGAGGAUUCAAAGUUGAGACAUUCCUUAUGCGAAAAGAAUCUAAUUUCGAGUGAAGAUUGUCCAGCUCCUCUUGGUGGGCCGAACGGCUUGGGCAUGUGGCUGCUCUAUGUGCUGGCUGCAUUCUCCUAUGCCUCCGUAUUCGCCUCCGGCUGCUCUUUCCUGCUGGACUUCCUGGGCGUCGGGUUCACCCACUCCAGAGUGGUAGCUUCCUUCCACGUCUCCACAGUGGUGCUGUGUCUGAUUGUCUUGGGCGUGGCUGGCACCUGUCUCUAUGUCAUUGAGCACAACGUGCAGAAUGGGAGGUGGGGCUCACUCUGGGACCACCCCUCGACUCCGCCUUAUGGACUACAGACUUAUCCUGGAGAGAGCAUGAUCAUCGAGAUGCUGGCCAUCCUCUUCUCCUUGGGGGCUGCUGCCUUCAGCUUGAGAUGCCCUCCAGAACCCACCACUCCCAGCCGCUACCUCUCUGUGGAGUCUGAGGACGGGGAAACAGAACCCCUUAUUGGAGGACUGGGAGAGCAGUCAGCAGAGACGUUUCCUACUGAACAGUCUUAGCAUUACUUAUUACAAUUUUGACACAAAUGCCUUUUUAAAAUGCUAACCACAGGAAAAAAAAAUACAUAGUUACUUUUCACUUGACACUUUAUUGAAUAAGUAUGUAUUUAUGUGAUUGAUUGUUUUUUCUACAGACAGGCCUUUCUAAACACCUUACAAUCUCUGGAGUGUUUAUACAUGUUUAAGGUGUUUAUACAUCUUAAAAGCUCCAGGCCUUCCUGUUGCGCUAGCCUUGUAGCUGGAUACACUAUGGAGCCAGGAACCAAAGAAAUGACCAAACCACAACAGCAUUUUAUGUAGUAAUUUCUCAGGCACAGUUACUGAGCUGCUACCUAAUAUUCAAUGGUACUUAGUAGGUUUUCCUAAAGGGAUUAGCUCAUGGACCUAAUACCGAAAAACCUGAAACUGUUUAGAGACCAAACUGAACGUUACCAUAUUCUGUAUGAAGGCAACAGGAAGCUCCAUGUGCCUUAGGAUCUGUUGCAUAUUGGUCAUAAACAUAUAUGUAAAACGCAUGGUGCACCUGGCUUGUAACUCACUCACACAUAUUUAGCAUUCUGAAUAUUUUCCAAAAGGGGGCGCUAUAUCCUUGUCUUAUGAUGCUGUUUUAUGUUUGCUGACAAGAGAUUUUAUUGGCUGGCAACGAGGAUUGUGUGUGGGUAUCCUCAAAUUGAUCAUUUGUCUUCUUACACCAGAAUGAUUGAUGUCACACUGCCACGUUAAAGAUAUUGAGGAAAGUGGUUCCUCUGCUUGAUAUUAAGUUUAAGUCUAGACUGAAUAUCCCCACUGGUAUUGCAGUAUAGUCCAAGACUAGACUUAAUCCAUUUCUGGGAAACCAGCCUGAGGAAAACAAUCUACAAUAUUAAUGAGUCAUAUCAUAUCUUUAUUUUAAACAUAACCGCUACAGGAGUUCAGUUAAAUUUUUAUCAGCACAAAGAAGGAUCAGUAAGUAGACUUUUUAUUAGAAUGUCAUUAAACAUUAAGGAAAAGCUGAAUUUCUCGGCAGUAAUGGGUAGUAACUCUGACCUGAUGACGGGGAGGCUUGUGCCAGCACUAAGCUCGAGGCAAGCACAUUUAUCUUACUACAUGGAACACACUUCCUGUUCCUGUGUUAUCACCAGUCAGCUGACUAGUACCGUACCUAUGUGGUGACAGUCUGUGAUUUUUGCUCCUUUAAAAUGUGCUGCAAUAAUGUCUGCAUACCUAAUCGAAACCCCAAACAUUGUGAAUUUGAAUGUUCCUUGUGGUUUGUCUUUGUGGCAUGUUAUUCUUUUGUUGUGUUACGGUAAUUUUUCAUUUUGUUGAACUGUGAGCUCGACUUAUUACCUCACCAUUUUAAUGUUAUCUCAUCACACAGUCAAUGACUGUUAACUAUGGCUAAAUACUCAUGUAAACUCAUUUAAACCUUUUAUGCCUUUCCUAUCCCCAGACAGGUUUUCACUUUGGAAGUGUUAAAAGGCUUCAGUUGAAUGUAUUAUUGUUUAUUUGGCUUUAUUGAGGAAUGAUUGCAUUGUAUACAUGGCAUUGUCUGCAGUACCCUGAGAUCAGGAUCAUGCAAAGCAAAGUCAAUGUUAAUGACAUUAUCGGUUGUGUUGUGGGUGAAUGAUUGGAUGAGGUAUUCCCCAUGACUCAUCCAAUCACCGUGACACACUCAGGAGGACAGGAGCUUUCAUCCAGCAUACAUCCCAGCUCUGCUGCCUGUGGUCACUGGGAUUGGGGCUCCAAGAUGACUUACACCUGUCAGGGACACUUCUGUUAGUUCUGGGUUGAGUGAAAACAUCCAUAAAUAAUUUUGGUUUGUUUUCUGAAUAACUUGUAAAUAUUAUGUUUCACCAGGAGGGGGCAUAAACAUGUAACCAGAUUGAUGUUAUGUGCCUUAAUGUAAUUAAAUGUAAUGUGUUUUUAAUAGGAAUCAUU